UAUUAAACAAGGUGGGUGUGUUUUAUCUCAGGCUGAUUUUGGCCAUGGCAUGGAUUUUGUAGUUCAGAAGUUCGACCAUCAGGGUGUGACCACCAGAACUGAGGAAGUAGGAAGAAAAGACACCACUGUAUGCUAGUCCUAAACUGGGGCUGACACUGACAAGAUCUUUUCAGCAUGCUAGGACUAGAAGAGGGAUGGAAAGCAACAUAUGCCAACCUGCCAGAUUCCAUAAACACAACUAUUUGAGGAAGUUCUGGUAAAAACGUACAAGCAGUAUGAGUACCACUUACUAACAUUUGUAACGAUGAUGUUAAUACACUGUAAUCCAAUUCAGGCAAAGUAAACAAGUGUGAAAGAUUCA